GGGAAAACAUUCCAAAGACAGGUGCUGGCACUUGCAUGCAAUUAGGCAGCAGCAACUUUUGAAAAGCUAGGCAACCUCUGAUGUCUUUUGAUUUCACCGGAUGAUGGGGAACUGCACAGAUGCAUGACCUACAAUAAGCCCCAUGGAGGGACAGCUCAAGAAGACUGUCAAGGAUGGGGUUGCCUGCUCCAAGAAAUGGACUCAUAGCUGUUAACCUUAGAGAUACGAGAAUGGGAGAAGACCAUACAUGUGGUUCCUAAACCAACCUUCCAUGCAUUAAGGAUAGAGAAGAAGAAGAAGAAGCAGCAGGGGAAGAAGGAGAAGAGUUGUUUUUAUAUCCUGCUUUUCUCUAUGUUAAUGAGUCUCAAAGUGGUUUAUAAUCUCCUUCUCUUCCUCUCCCCACCACAGAAACCUUGUGCAGUAGGUGGAGCUGAAACAGUUCUGAGACAACUGAAACUAGCCCAGGAUCACCCAACAGGCUUCAUGUGGCGGAAUGCCGCUCUUAACCACUGCACUGCACUGGUACACCUUCCUUGCCUUAGUUUGUUCAUGUUGUUUUCCAAUUCUGUAAUCCUAGUCCUAUCGCAUUGUUCACUGAACAUAUUACGGUGCCUGCAUUAUUUGAUAUUCUGUGAUCUGUUUGGAAGCUCAGCAAACAAAACCACUCCGGGCUAUGCACCAAGUAAAUGAAUGAAUGAAUAAUCUCUGUGACUUUCUUCCAAAUUCCCCUCCAUGGGGGGGGGGGGGGACUGGAAAUGUGUUGGGCCUUUAAUUGCAUGUAAAAGGAGAAUUCUUUCACUGAUCUAUCUGAAAUUUGGUUGGCAAAAUUCCAUCAAUUGUGGAUAUGGGCUACAAAAAUUUCAUUCUGACUGUUAGCAAUAUAAAACAACACUUGGAAUAUGCUUCCCAUUGCAAUCAAUGGCAACAGAAUAAAAUAAAGAAUAUGAA